rnacentral:lncRNA from 1 species
AGUGACCAGGUGAGGGGAAUACGACGACGAGGAAACCGGCCUCUAGGGGCAAAAGUAUACGGAUGGGGAUGCAUACAAAGGUAUGUCAAUUGGUAUUGGUAUGUUAUGCAGAUCACAUUUACCAACCUCCUCCCUUAUCUCUUCAAUGAAUAUCCCAUAGGCCUCUACAUUAUGGAGAAGACUUCACACUCCCUAUACCUCUGAUGAAUAUAACAGGAGACCUGUUCGAUCACCAUGCACUGCUAAAUCAUUGUGGCUGUGGAUAUGGAGAACAUCAACACAUUAACGUCAACACACCAGAGGAUAAACCCAUUGGACUUGGGGCUCUGCUGGAAGUACACCUCAU